CGUGCGUAGAUCCUAAUAGAGAUCGAAGAAGCAGAAUAUCUACGACACCCUCCAUCGAUGAGGAUGCCAUUGAGAAGCCGCGAUCGAAAGAAGUACUAUUGGUUCCAUCAUGAUCAUGGUCACGACACCGAAUAAUGCAUCCAACUCAAGGAUGAAAUAGAAGCCAUGAUUCGAUAAGGCUACCUUGAGAAGUUCUGGAGAGAUCC
rnacentral:lncRNA from 1 species